CAUCAGGCCAACGACCUCACGCUGGGAGUCCACUUCUUCACGGUCACGACAUCUGCCUUGAAAAAUUAUCUGGAGUGAGUUCCAGAGACGAAUGGGGAACUGGACUUUGAGCUGGAGCGGUCAUGUGUUCUUGCACCUGGGGAUUAAAAGCCAAUAUACAAUUUGUUCAUUUUCUUUUAGAGGUAUGUAACAUUGAUUCGUACGAUUAGUUGGUACUUAAGAACAUGGAUACCCACACUUUCCAGGAUGGCUCAAGCUGUUCUGAUAGUUGAUAUAGAUUUAAAUGACUAGGAGAACCUAAGUGGCUCAUUCAUACGCCACCAUUUCCAAUAUAUAUGGGGCAGUUCUUAAACGUGCAAAUGUUCAAGAAAUGAGUGCUCUCAUUUGUCAUGCCAUGGAAGUAUGGUUUGAAGUUUCCUUACUGCAAAGAUUUUUCUUCAACAUCUAUGAGCUGGCUAGCAAAAUUAUUGUAACUACAAUUCACAUCAGAUAUAAGGCGACAAAUAGGGCAUCAUCUAGGUCCAUACAUCUUAAUAUCAUUUUCACUGACGGUUGCUUUGCUAUCAUAGUCAUUGUUUAUGACAGAAUGUAUAAACCACAUGGAGCUUGUGACAUCGGAUGAAGCUAGCGCACGGCGGCAUACAACAGGAGCUAUUAGAGCUGGUUGUUACACGGGCAUGAUGUAGUGCCCAGGAUGCUCUUCGGAUGGCUCCCAGGAUGGGAUUGAACCCAGUUGAGGUCCUUGGGAAAUCAGGCCCUCCUGUUUCCAAGAUCAUAGGCUUUCACAAAGACAAGUAUACCAAGGAUGCCAUGGAGAAAGAUCGCCUAAAAGAACAAGGUCAUAAUGUUGUACCGAGGGCAUAAAGUUGUAUCCAGGAUGGGCUUGCACCUGGUUGAGGUCCAUCGGAAAUAGGACCAUCCUGCUUGCAAGAUCAUGGACUUCCACAAAGACAAGUAUAACAAGGAUGUCAAGUAGAAAGAGCACGUAAAAACCAAGGUAUGUGUGUUGUGCCAUCACUACUGACGCUGAGUUGAGAUGCUUAGAGCACAGCAAAUAUAUUCCAUGUGCUGGCUAUUUUAUUUGUAAAGAAUUUUGUUUUUCUCAAGGGAAGGGAGGAGUAAAUGAGAUGGUGGGAUUGACUCUAACCUGUCAAUCUGCUGGUUUUGAUGGCUGUAGUAUGUGUUGUUCAGUUGCAACAUAAGACAUGGUUGUGCAUGUUUUGAUCCUUGUUGUGGAAUCGAAACAACUCCUUGUAUAGUUUAUUUGAUUA